rnacentral:rRNA from 1 species
GAUGAACGCUGGCGGCGUGCUUAACACAUGCAAGUCGAACGGUGAAGCAGGAGCUUGCUCUUGUGGAUCAGUGGCGAACGGGUGAGUAACACGUGAGCAACCUGCCCUUGACUCUGGGAUAAGCGCUGGAAACGGCGUCUAAUACUGGAUAUGUGAUGUGACCGCAUGGUCUGCAUCUGGAAAGAAUUUCGGUUGGGGAUGGGCUCGCGGCCUAUCAGCUUGUUGGUGAGGUAAUGGCUCACCAAGGCGUCGACGGGUAGCCGGCCUGAGAGGGUGACCGGCCACACUGGGACUGAGACACGGCCCAGACUCCUACGGGAGGCAGCAGUGGGGAAUAUUGCACAAUGGGCGGAAGCCUGAUGCAGCAACGCCGCGUGAGGGAUAACGGCCUUCGGGUUGUAAACUUCUUUUAGCAGGGAAGAAGCGAAAGUGACGGUACCUGCAGAAAAAGCACCGGCUAACUACGUGCCAGCAGCCGCCGUAA